rnacentral:lncRNA from 10 species
GAGGCGGGUCGGGGGAGGGCAGGGGAACGGAAGGGGUACCCGGGGAGCAUCCUAAGGGAACCUCUUCGCUUAAAAGGGCGGCCGCUGAAGUGGCUCUGAGAACAAAGGAGUUAACACUCGGACUCCACAGCCUGCGUCCCCGCCCGGUCAGCAUCGCAGGUGUUACCCAAACUCUGACGGUCCCUUUAAGAACUCACCCGGAGUCGCGCCCUCCGAAGCUGAGCCGCCCUCGGCCAGCGCUGCAGGCCCCAGCUUAUAAAUCUAUGAAGGUGUCCAGGUCCUGCCAGACUCCGCUGCAUCUUUUGCUUUCACUCCAGCAGGGUAGCAGCAUGCUGCCUGUGCCAAGGCAAUCACUAAAAGGAAAGGAUUUAAUGCUGUCAAAAAAGCUUAUGCCAGCUUAGGCUGCAGGAAGAGGAACAGUGUCAAGUAUGUUGAAAGUGGACAUAUUGGUCAGACCUCCAUGAGAGCCUAGGGGGCAUUGCUUAGCAGCACGCUUUUA